UACGAAGGGUGCAAGCGUUACUCGGAAUUACUGGGCGUAAAGCGUGCGUAGGUGGUUCGUUAAGUCUGUCGUGAAAGCCCCGGGCUCAACCUGGGAAUGGCGAUGGAUACUGGCGGGCUAGAGUGCGGUAGAGGAGAGUGGAAUUCCCGGUGUAGCAGUGAAAUGCGUAGAGAUCGGGAGGAACAUCAGUUGCGAAGGCGGCUCUCUGGACCACAACUGACGCUGAGGCGCGAAAGCUAGGGGAGCAAACAGG
rnacentral:rRNA from 1 species